GAUGAACGCUGGCGGCGUGCCUAAUACAUGCAAGCCGAGCGAACGGACGAGAAGCUUGCUUCUCUGAUGUUAGCGGCGGACGGGUGAGUAACACGUGGAUAACCUACCUAUAAGACUGGGAUAACUUCGGGAAACCGUAGCUAAUACCGGAUAAUAUUUUGAACCGCAUGGUUCAAAAGUGAAAGACGGUCUUGCUGUCACUUAUAGAUGGAUCCGCGCUGCAUUAGCUAGUUGGUAAGGUAACGGCUUACCAAGGCAACGAUGCAUAGCCGACCUGAGAGGGUGAUCGGCCACACUGGAACUGAGACACGGUCCAGACUCCUACGGGGGGCAGCAGUAGGGAAUCUUCCGCAAUGGGCGAAAGCCUGACGGAGCAACGCCGCGUGAGUGAUGAAGGUCUUCGGAUCGUAAAACUCUGUUAUUAGGGAAGAACAUAUGUGUAAGUAACUGUGCACAUCUUGACGGUACCUAAUCAGAAAGCCACGGCUAACUACGUG
rnacentral:rRNA from 1 species